rnacentral:rRNA from 1 species
CCUACGGGUGGCAGCAGUAGGGAAUCUUCCACAAUGGGCGAAAGCCUGAUGGAGCAACGCCGCGUGGGUGAAGAAGGUCUUCGGAUCGUAAAACCCUGUUGUUAGAGAAGAAAGUGCGUGAGAGUAACUGUUCACGUUUCGACGGUAUCUAACCAGAAAGCCACGGCUAACUACGUGCCAGCAGCCGCGGUAAUACGUAGGUGGCAAGCGUUAUCCGGAUUGAUUGGGCGUAAAGGGAACGCAGGCGGUCUUUUAAGUCUGAUGUGAAAGCCGUCGGCUUAACCGGAGUAGUGCAUUGGAAACUGGGAGACUGGAGUGCAGAAGAGGAGAAGGGAACUCCAUGUGUAGCGGUGAAAUGCGUAGAUAUAUGGAAGAACACCAGUGGCGAAAGCGGCUCUCUGGUCUGUAACUGACGCUGAGGUUCGAAAGCGUGGGUAGCAAACAGGAUUAGAUACCCCUGUAGUC